AAUCAAGUGGAGGACAAGUCUGGUGCCAGCACCCGCGGUAAUUCCAGCUCCACUAGCGUAUAUUAAAGUUGUUGCAGUUAAAAAGCUCGUAGUUGAACCUCUGUCUGGGACUAGUUUUGGCUUUGGUCAGGCUAGUUCUAGGCAUCCGCCUACAAGACUUAGAGGGCAUUCAGUUGUUCACUAGGAGGAGUAGGCAUUUUACUUUGAAAAAAUUAGAGUGUUUAAGGCAGGCAAUCGCCCGCAUAUAUUAGCAUGGAAUAAUAGAAUAGGACACUUUUCCAUUUCGUUGGUUAUUGGAAUCGUGUAAUGAUUAAUAGGGACAGUUGUGGGCAUUUGUAUUUAAUUGUCAGAGGUGAAAUUCUUGGAUUUAUUAAAGACAAACUAACGCGAAAGCAUUUGCCAAGGAUGUUUUCAUUAAUCAGGAACGAAAGUUAGGGGAUCAAAGACGAUCAGAUACCGUCCUAGUCUUAACUAUAAACUAUUCCGACUCAAUGUUUGACUGGCUUAUAUAACCAGUUGAGCGUUGUAUGAGAAAUCAAAGUCUUUAGGUUCUGGGGGGAGUAUGGUUGCAAAGCUGAAACUUAAAGGAAUUGACGGAAGAGCACAACCAGGAGUGGAUUCUGCGGCUUAAUUUGGCUCAACACGGGGAAACUUACCAGGUUAAAACAAUAGUGGGAUUGACAGUUUGAGAGCGCUUUCUUGAUUGGUUGGGUGGUGGUGCAUGGCCGUUCUUAGUUGGUGGAGUGAUUUGUCUGCUUAAUUGCGUUAACGAACGAGACCUUAACCUGCUUACUAGACUGGCGAUCAUCAAUCGUUAGCUCUUCUUAGAGGGACUUUGGUUGUUUUAACUCCAAGGAAGUUUGAGGCAAUAACAGGUCUGUGAUGCCCUUAGAUAUCCUGGGCCGCACGCGUCAUACAAUGACUAGUUCAGAAAGUUUUCUCCUGACCCGAAAGGGGAUGGGUAAUCUUGAUAAUACUAGUCGUGUUAGGGAUCGAUCUUUGCAAUUAUAGAUCUUGAACGAGGAAUUCCUAGUAAGUGCGGUUCAUCAGACCGUACUGAUUACGUCCCUGCUCUUUGUACACACCGCCCGUCGCUUCUACCGAGUGGGUGGUCCGGUGAGAUAAUUGAACUUCGCAGGUAACUGAGAGGAAAGAUUAUCAAACCUAUCCACCU
rnacentral:rRNA from 1 species